rnacentral:rRNA from 1 species
UGGGGAAUAUUGGACAAUGGGCGCAAGCCUGAUCCAGCCAUGCCGCGUGAGUGACGAAGGCCUUAGGGUUGUAAAGCUCUUUUGGCGGGGACGAUAAUGACGGUACCCGCAGAAUAAGCCCCGGCUAACUUCGUGCCAGCAGCCGCGGUAAUACGAAGGGGGCUAGCGUUGUUCGGAAUUACUGGGCGUAAAGCGCACGUAGGCGGAUGUGCCAGUCAGGGGUGAAAUCCCGAGGCUCAACCUCGGAACUGCCUCCGAUACAGCACGUCUCGAGUCCGGAAGAGGUGAGUGGAAUUCCUAGUGUAGAGGUGAAAUUCGUAGAUAUUAGGAAGAACACCAGUGGCGAAGGCGGCUCACUGGUCCGGUACUGACGCUGAGGUGCGAAAGCGUGGGGAGCAAACAGGAUUAGAUACCCCUGUAGUCCCUGAGCGGGCUGGCAAGGCGCAU